GAUGAACGCUGGCGGCGUGCCUAAUACAUGCAAGUCGAGCGAACAGACGAGGAGCUUGCUCCUCUGACGUUAGCGGCGGACGGGUGAGUAACACGUGGAUAACCUACCUAUAAGACUGGGAUAACUUCGGGAAACCGGAGCUAAUACCGGAUAAUAUAUUGAACCGCAUGGUUCAAUAGUGAAAGACGGUUUUGCUGUCACUUAUAGAUGGAUCCGCGCCGCAUUAGCUAGUUGGUAAGGUAACGGCUUACCAAGGCAACGAUGCGUAGCCGACCUGAGAGGGUGAUCGGCCACACUAGAACUGAGACACGGUCCAGACUCCUACGGGAGGCAGCAGUAGGGAAUCUUCCGCAAUGGGCGAAAGCUGGACGGAGCAACGCCGCGUGAGUGAUGAAGGUCUUCGGAUCGUAAAACUCUGUUAUUAGGGAAGAACAAAUGUGUAAGUAACUAUGCACGUCUUGACGGUACCUAAUCAGAAAGCCACGGCUAACUACGUG
rnacentral:rRNA from 1 species